GAGAAGCGGCGCAGAGAGAGAGAGAGAGAAGAGCGAGCGAGAGAGAGAGUGUGUGUGAUAUGUCUGAGGCAAAUAAGGACGAGGCCGUCAAGUGCCUGAAUAUCGCAAGGAAAGCCCUGUAUGACCUCGAGA
rnacentral:ribozyme from 1 species